UCGGAAUUGCUAGUAAUCGUAGGUCAGCAUACUACGGUGAAUACGUUCCCGGGCCUUGUACACACCGCCCGUCAAACCAUGAGAGUUGGCAACACCCGAAGUCGGUAGUCUAACCGCAAGGAGGACGCCGCCGAAGGUGGGGUUGAUGAUUAGGGUUAAGUCGUAACAAGGUAAC
rnacentral:rRNA from 1 species